ACAGACGGCGCCAACUGAUGGGGGUGAAACCCGACCAGUACUCCAAGACGCGCAAGCAAGCGCCAAGCGGGGAACUCCGCGGGAAACCGGACCGGAACUCAAGUGUGCAGAGCUCUGCUUCGCUAGGAAUUCUUCUUCUCCAAAAUGACUUGCCUUUAAUGAGUGGGGGGUGCCCUCUAUUUAUAGGGGUUCUUAUGGGGG
rnacentral:lncRNA from 1 species